ACUUCAUCUAAACUCCAAUCCGCCUUUUUCCACCUACAGAAAGCAACCGAUGCUCCUUCAUUUUAUGAUGCACAUCGUUGGCCAAAAAUAUUGAAGUGUGUCAUUGUAAAAUGGCCCAAUCGCAUGCGGGGCGGGACUCGCUGUUUUUUGACUGCUGGCCGCCAGCCACGCGUCUACGGGUUGAGGAGGAGCGCUCGGAGGAGGCCUGCACCUCCUGGACUGAGGCGGAGGUGAAGGAGAGAGUAGCGCGCUCUCCUUGUCAGCUGCAAGGGUGGCGCCGCGUCUUGUCCAUGUUUGGUUUGAUCACCUCUGACUGCUCUCUUCACCGGCGCGGGCCUCCCCUUGAUAGGCUCCAAUUCAAAGAUAGCGGCGCGCGGCGUCCCUCGGGGA